rnacentral:rRNA from 3 species
AACACGACUCUCGGCAACGGAUAUCUAGGCUCUCGCAUCGAUGAAGAACGUAGCAAAAUGCGAUACUUGGUGUGAAUUGCAGAAUCCCGUGAACCAUCGAGUUUUUGAACGCAAGUUGCGCCCGAAGCCAUUAGGCCGAGGGCACAUCUGCCUGGGCGUCACGCAU